GCUGUGCAUAGCUCAGAGUUUUUCCUGCCUGCCUCUACAACGUGUAACAAUAGACAGCCAAUCACCAGCAUUAUUAGAUCUUGGUUCAAGCAUGUUGCAUGCUCACUGAC